UUGCAUUUUCUUUGGUGAUGACAUUUGGUAGUGGAUCUUGUUCCUAUGGAAGAAAUUGGCCAUUUCCAACCAAUAAGCUUUGGUGAAAGCUUAUCAAAUGGAGUCAAAUUUGUAGUGUAAAAACAGUUACAAGUUCAAUUGUUGCAUCAUAUUGGGAUCAUCCAUGCGAUGAGACUUUUGCCACCUAAUUUUUGAACCUCAACCAAAACUGAGCAUAACAUGGGUGAUCUUAUUGUUACUGUCUUUUAACUCCGCAAAAAAAAAAAAAAAAUUGUUAAGAGCACCGAAUAUAUAAGUUCACUUUUAAAAAAAAUAAAAAAUCGAAAAUUUUCAUUUUAUUUAAAUUUUCAGUAGCCUCAAAUUAUAACAUAUACGUAGAUUCUUGUAACAAAUAGGUGUUAAAAAAAAAAAGAAAAAAGAAGAAGAAGGUGGUGGGACACUUACCUCACAACAUGCAGGUGUAUAUUCACUAUAGUCCCUUAGAACACUUGGAGAGACAUGUGGAGUGGAGGGCAUCUUAUUGCUCAUAAGGAAAAAUAUAAAACAAGAUCUUUAUAAAGGUGCUAAGAAUAAGAAAUAUGCGGGUGCAUUGAUUUGAUCCAUUGAUGAUGCUAAAUUGAUUUCAUGUGCCCAAAACAACAACAAACGAAUAUGUAUCGGCGUGGAGGAAUAGCGGCCUCACCUUCAUUCGGUCACCGUCCCUUUCUAUAAAAAUGAAUAACUAAUUUUCAGCCCCAAAGCCAAUAAAAUAAUAAAAAAGUGCAUAGAUGUCAGACAAGGAAAAUAUAAAAAGGCAAAUGAGUUCACCCCAGGAAUCUCAAUAAAUUCUUUAUUUAUAUACUUACAUACAUUAUAUAGUUAAAAAUAUAAAUUUUUUUUUUAUCUCAUUCUCAAUUUUAAUUCAUUAAAAAAGAAAAAAAAAUAGCAUAUUCGGAGUUAUUUUACUCUGCUUCUCUCAUGGUUUUCUUCUCGUUUCGGUCAAAAAGUAAGCAAAUUCAAAGCUUAAUUCCAUUUUUUUAAGGAGAAAGAGGGGGAAAAAGAAAAGCUAAUGAAGAAACUUGCAAGAUUUGAAUAAUAGAGAGAGAGAGAGAGAGAGAGAACCACUUGCUCAAAUAAACAUCCGAAGAUGAUUCAUCUUCUCCUCUUCUCCUCUUCCAUUUGUUUCCGCUCUCUUCCAAUUCUUGGGUUGUGCCACUUGGUGCUCUCAUUAAAUUAAAUAAUCUAUUUUGUCGCUCGGGGAUGCUGCGUGAUAGGUGGUAAUUAAUUAAAAAUUAU
rnacentral:lncRNA from 1 species